GGGAAUCUCUGGUUUUCUUCAGCAAGUCGACAGUCAAGAUGCAUGGAGGGUGACUGCAAAAUGCUAUUAAUUUCCCUCUCCUAAAACGGCAGUGAGAGGAAUACACUUGCGGGUGUUUCUGAACAAGGGACGUCAGCGCAGCGCAUCACGGGACGGCAGUAAAAGUGCUCAUGGUCCACCUCUGUCCGGAGCAAGUCUGCAGCACCACCUUGAAAAAGGGCUGCUCCUCGAUGGGCACCACCUCCAAGCAGCGCCCCGUGGUGAUGUUUAUCACCGACGUGUUCUGUGGGCGAGAAACUCUUUGUGACAGACGGCCUCUUGCGUCCCCUCAGCCUUUGACCUCACAAGAAGCAGGCGUCACCUCCGCGUAAAUCCACCGGGUCCCUUGCAUGCUCUUCACCUGGUUGCAGUCCAGGAGCUGCGGUUCGGCUCUGCUGGGAUCGUCCACCACGCAGUGAGCGCUCCAGGAAAAGCUGCCCAGUGAGCCCACCAUCAGAUGAUGCUCACUGGUGUAACGAACCAGCUGAGGGUCACAACGUGAGGACAAAUGUCACCACCAAGCCAAAAAACAAUCAAAAGACCCAACUGCGAUAAGUGAAUUUCCGCCAAGAAGAAUUCCUUAUUUAAAUAUGGAAUAUUUUCAUAGUUAGAGCAUAGAAAACCUGUUUAAGUGUUUGUAAAUGUGGGUUUUAACAUUACUAGAGCCCUCUAGCCAUGAAAUAACACCGCUAUAGUCACCUUUACACUCCUAUUACCCAAUAUAGUACAAGACAAAAAGCCAAUUAAGACAUAAAUAAGAUUCAUACUCGUGUGUUGCUGUAAAUGUGUUCCCAAGGGGAACAUAGUGGCAGGUGGACAGGAAGUCAUGUCGGGGGUUUAGAGUUGCGUUUAGCAUAGCGUGGGUUGCGGCCGCAACGGUUGCCAGUGUUAGGAAUUAUUGCGCCUCAAACCUGCAAUGAAAGCCUGUUGUUCCGGCCAUCAAAUCUGGUGCUUGUGUGUCGCACCCAACAUUACAUUUGAUCAAAGCCCCUAGACUAGUGUCAUCACAACAUCUCUGAAUGAGUCUUCUGAAUACCUUGUAUUUGUAUUUUAAUUUAUUUAGCCAAAAAUGCUUCAGGCAAAAAAAUACAUGAAAUUUGCUUCAAUAUGUAUACUUUCUGACUCGUAAUAGGCUGUAGCCAACCACAAAACAGAGAUGAUUUACUAAUAUAUUUUUGAAAAGUCAACCUGCAAAAUUCAAAGUGCAAAGUGGCCGGGGAUUACUGUAAACAAGAAAACUAAAACAAAAACCCAGCAAAAAUGUAAAAAAACAAAAGUACUUUUACAAGAACAAAGUCAAAAUGUAAGUAGAAAAAAGAUGUAAUCCUACAACAAUAAAGUCGCCAUUUUAUGAGAAUAAAGACGUAAUAUUAUGAAGCAAAAUAAUGCAAUUUUAGAAGCACAGAGUGACGUGACUUUUUGAAGUUGUAAUGUUAUGAAAAACAAACCAAAGCUGCAAUUUUUGGAAAAUUAGGUUGGAAUUAUGUUAUUUCAAUAGGAAAUUUAGGUCAUUUAUGUAUUUAUUUAUUUGGGAUUGCAACUUGAAAACCAGUGAGAUCCAUCCAUCCAUUCAUCUUCUUCCGCUUAUCUGAGGUUGGGUCACGGCGGCAGCCGAAGCAGGGAAGCCCAGACUUCCCUCUCCCUGCCUACUUUAGCAGAUCCCAGGCCAGUUGAGGGACAUAGUCUCUCCAAUGUGUCCUGGGUUUUCCCUGAGCCCUCCUGCCGGUCGGACGUGCCCUCAACACCUCCCUCAGGGAGGCGUCUGGGAGGCAUCCUGACCAGAUGCCUGAGCCACCUCAUCUGGCUCCUCUCAACGCGGAGGAGCAGCGGUUCUACUCCGAGUUUGUUCCAGAUGACAGUGCUUCUCACCUUAUCUCUACGGGAGCGCCCAGCCGCCCUACGGAGAAAACUAAUUUCGGCCGCUUGUACCGGUCAUCUUGUCCCGUCUGUCACUACCCAAAGCAAAGUUAAAAUUGUAUGGCAAUAAAGUUGUAAUAUUACAAGAAAAACAACAUUUAUGAGGAGUUAAAAUAUUUGGAAAAUUAAAAAAAAUCCAGCAAAAAUUGAAAAAACAUGUAAUGUAAGGAGAAAGAGUAUAUAGUACAAGUAUUAUUUUACACUAAGAAUGCUAAAAUGCGAUGUAAAACAUUGCCUGUACAUGUAACAAAGCUUUUAUGAUGGCCACAGCUUCACUCUGGAACAAAUCAGUUGUAUUUCCAUAGGAAUAAUUGUUUCAAAACUAAUGUAGGACCAUAGAUGGUUUACUGUAAAUAAAGCCUUUGAAUUGAAUGUACCAUGAGGAUGACAUCAUGUGAGCAAGUGAUGACACGUCUGUCCUACCUGAGGCCACAACCCAUGGCAGCGGUACAAGAUGACCGUAUUGCCCUUCGCGGGGCCCUGGUCCAAACACAAAUUCUUCGCUUUGGAGUUGCGCAUCUGAAAUGACAACAUAUGUUGCUUCCUUCAGCUGAGCAUGUCCAAGAAACUCAGAAGGAGAUGAUGACGCAGACUGACGUCUCCGUAUCGGAUGGUGUUGUUGAAGUUCUUCAGGCUCGGGUAGAUGUUGUCCACGUACCACUGGAAGUUCUUACACUGCAGCCUCUUCCUCAGCUCCACCCUCUCGGAGACGUCUCCGUAGUCGAUGCCGUGAUUCUGAGGGAGUGGUCACAGCUUAUUAGUGCUUGGUUUGAAGCACCUGAAUGACCGCAUGCCCACGUCCCACCUUCAUGGGGAUGUUCCAGGCCAUGUAGACGUUGGACUUGAAAUCGUCCAUCCACACCUCGGCCACGCGCAGGGCGUUGCGCCGCAUUAGGGUGGUGAGGUUGUCUGUCAAGUAGGGCUUCUUGAAGCGAGCGAUGUGAGCCACUCUGGAACACGGAAGAAUCUCCAUGCUGCCCCCGCAUGUCCACACCUGCAGGGGAAGAGGGGGCGGAGCCAUGGAGCCACCACAGAUGUCCAUGCCCGGGUCAAACAGGCCCAGCUCGUCAAAGUAGACCCUGUUGACCACGAAGGAGCAGCCGAUCAUGGAGGGACUCCUGCAAGGCAACAGAACACAGGCAUGUGCAUUCGAUGACAUGGUUACAAUCAGCUGCUGUGUUGUGAGGUACGAGUAUGGACCACCUGAUGGGGGCGGUGGUGUCAUCCUUCUCCAGCCACUUUCUGGGCGUCUUUGCGUACAGGCACCACAGCUGCCAGUCAAAGCCAUGGGCCGGGUUGAAAUAGGGCUGCACCUCAAAGGUGUCGUGUUUGAUGUUGUCGAUGGUCGGCAGGACGAUCCUCGUGUGGUCCUCCUUGAUUCUGGACAGAACCGGCUCAGCCCUGAGGAGCAGACGGUCACAUUAGUGUCAAUUCUGUGCUGCAGGGGUGGGCGGAUCGAUCCAGAUAUUGAUAGUAUCGAUACUAAUGGUAGCCAAGUCAAAGCUCGGUUUUUGUA